ACCUGAAACCCUGCACUUACAAGCUGUGGAAGCACAUUUCUUGUGUGACCGCGUACUUUUUGUAGAACGGGCCAACGAGUUACGUUAAGUAGCAAGGUUAAGCACUUAAGGUGCGGCGCCGUAGCGAAAGCGAGUUUUAACUGAGCGUUCAGUUACUUGACGUAGACCCGAAACCGGGCGACCUACCCAUGAUCAGGCUGCAGCGAAAGUAAAAUUUCGUGGAGGUCCGCACCCACGUCCAUCGAAAAGCACGGGGCNGACUUGGAGGGAGCGGUGACAUGCCAAUCGAGCCCUGCGACAGCCGGUUCUCAUCUCAAUAGCAUCAGGGCUACACCCCACGUGACAGAUGCUGUGGACGAGCAAUUAAAUUCCUAG
rnacentral:rRNA from 1 species